GCUCAGGUCAUGUUCCCAGGGUCCUGGGAUGGAGCCCCAGUCUAGCGUCUGACUCCCUGCUCAGCAGGGAAUCUGCUUCUCUGUCUGCCCCCUCCUCCCACUCAUGGUCCUGCUCUCUGUCUCAUAAUUUUUUUUUAAUCUUAAAGAAAAAGAAGAGGAGAUUAGGACACAGGCACGUACAGAGAGGGAAGACCGUGUACACACAUAGAGAAAAGACAUCCAUCUAUAAGCCAAGGAGAGAGGCUUCAGAAGAAACCAGCCCUGUGGACAGCUUGACCUCAAACUUCUAGCCUCCAGAACUGUGGGAGAAUAACUAUUAUGGGUUCAGCUACCCAGUCUAUGGGGCUUUGUUACAGUGACCCUAGGGAAAUAAUACAGGGGAGAGUCAAGAUUCCCAACACAGGAUGCCCCUGACACAGGGGGGCGAUUCUGGAGGUUUGGAUGAACCAAUCACGUGUCCAUCAGAGGAAUGUGAGGCUGUUGGGACAGCACUUGCACAGCCAUGAGGAGGAAGGAGCAUAGAGGCACAGGGUGAUGUGGGCAGAGGUGACUGCUGAGAAAGCCCUCCACGGAAGGAAGGAAGGAAGGAAGGAAGGAAGGAAGGAAGGAAGGAAGGAAGGAAAAGGAAGGAAGGAAGGAAGGAAGGAAGGAAGGAGAAGCUGCCCAGAGAGCCACAGACAUGCAAUGCCAUGGAGCUUUCAGGGGACAGCACUGCUUGGUUUAGGACCAUUUCCAGGGUAAAUCAAGCAAUCUCUGCCUAAAUCAAUAGGGACCAUCCAGAAAGGAGGCCACACUUUCCAGCAUGCUGGUGUCUGCAGACAGAGCCACAGCGCUGGAAUGUUCUUACUUGCCUGUUAUGCCUCAAAUUGGAGAGGAAAAAAAGCACAGAGGCUGGAGUGGGGAGAGCCUUCUAAUUGUAGCCCUUGAGGGAAAAGAAAUAUUUAAAUAUUUUAUGAACUUUCUCUUCUCUCUCAUCCCUUAAACAACAAUAAAUGUAACAUAUCAAUUUACA
rnacentral:lncRNA from 1 species